GCCAGGUGUGGUGGUGUAUGCCUGUAAUCCCAGCUACUUGGGAGGCUGAGGCAUGAGAAUCGCUUGAACCCAGGAGGCGGAGGCUGCAGUAAUCUAAGAUCACAUCACUACACUCCAGCCUGGGUGACAGAGUGAGACCAUGUCUCUA
ensembl:misc_RNA Metazoa_SRP Metazoan signal recognition particle RNA